rnacentral:rRNA from 1 species
UACGAAGGUGGCAAGCGUUGUUCGGAUUUACUGGGCGUACGAGGGAGCGUAGGCGGUUGGAUAAGCCCUCCGUGAAAUCUCCAGGCUUAAACCUGGGAAAGUGCAGCAGGGGACGUGUUCAGCUAGAGGAGUGGGAGAGGAGCGCGGAAUUCCCGGUCGUAGCGGUGAAAUGCGUAGAGAUCGGGAGGAAGGCCGGUGGCGAAGGCGGCGCUCUGGAACAUUUCUGACGCUGAGGCUCGAAAGCGUGGGGAGCAAAGCAGG